rnacentral:rRNA from 1 species
GCUGGGCGGAUUAGUGGCGAACGGGUGAGUAAUACGUGAGUAACCUGCCCUUGACUCUGGGAUAAGCCUGGGAAACUGGGUCUAAUACUGGAUACUACCUCUUACCGCAUGGUGGGUGGUGGAAAGGGUUUUACUGGUUUUGGAUGGGCUCACGGCCUAUCAGCUUGUUGGUGGGGUAAUGGCUCACCAAGGCGACGACGGGUAGCCGGCCUGAGAGGGUGACCGGCCACACUGGGACUGAGACACGGCCCAGACUCCUACGGGAGGCAGCAGUGGGGAAUAUUGCACAAUGGGCGGAAGCCUGAUGCAGCGACGCCGCGUGAGGGAUGACGGCCUUCGGGUUGUAAACCUCUUUCAGUAGGGAAGAAGCGAGAGUGACGGUACCUGCAGAAGAAGCGCCGGCUAACUACGUGCCAGCAGCCGCGGUAAUACGUAGGGCGCAAGCGUUGUCCGGAAUUAUUGGGCGUAAAGAGCUCGUAGGCGGUUUGUCGCGUCUGCUGUGAAAGCCCGGGGCUCAACCCCGGGUCUGCAGUGGGUACGGGCAGACUAGAGUGCAGUAGGGGAGACUGGAAUUCCUGGUGUAGCGGUGAAAUGCGCAGAUAUCAGGAGGAACACCGAUGGCGAAGGCAGGUCUCUGGGCUGUUACUGACGCUGAGGAGCGAAAGCAUGGGGAGCGAACAGGAUUAG